rnacentral:lncRNA from 1 species
UCCAAUCACCUUUUUCAAAAAGUUGGUCAUUUGGAGGAUCUUGAAGACGAGCGAGUCAUAGCAGAAUUGGAACCCGAUAGAAAUCCAUUUCACAUUGCCAUUAGAUUAAUUUCUGUUUUUAUCUUUUAUGCAAUUACCUCUUUCCAGGGAUUACUUCCUGAUGUAAAUGCAUAUUCAGAGGCCAUUCAAUCAAUAAAAAUCAUGUUAUUCAGUAUAUCUCUGUGUUAAUUUUCAUUUUUACUGCUUUGUUUGCAAAAAUGACGUCCGAGUUUUUGAUAAAC